CUACGGGGUGCAGCAGUGAGGAAUUUUGCGCAAUGGGGGAAACCCUGACGCAGCAACGCCGCGUGAGUGAUGAAGGCCUUCGGGUCGUAAAACUCUGUCAAGUGGGAAGAACCUAUGUAAGGUUAAUACCCUUAUGUACUGACGGUACCACUGAAGGAAGCACCGGCUAACUCCGUGCCAGCAGCCGCGGUAAUACGGAGGGUGCAAGCGUUAUUCGGAAUUAUUGGGCGUAAAGGGCGCGCAGGCGGUUUUGUAAGUCAGAUGUGAAAGCCCGGGGCUUAACCUCGGAAGUGCAUUUGAUACUGCAAGACUUGAGUAUGGGAGGGGGAAGUGGAAUUCCUGGUGUAGAGGUGAAAUUCGUAGAUAUCAGGAGGAACACCAGUGGCGAAGGCGACUUCCUGGACCAAUACUGACGCUGAGGCGCGAAGGCGUGGGGAGCAAACAGGAUUAGAUACCCGCGUAGUC
rnacentral:rRNA from 1 species